rnacentral:rRNA from 1 species
UAGGUGAAGUGGUUUACCCAUGGAGCUGAAGCCAGUCGCAGAUACCAGCUGGCUGCAACUGUUUAUUAAAAACACAGCACUGUGCAAACACGAAAGUGGACGUAUACGGUGUGACGCCUGCCCGGUGCUGGAAGGUUAAUUGAUGGGGUUAUCCGUAAGGAGAAGCUCUUGAUCGAAGCCCCAGUAAACGGCGGCCGUAACUAUAACGGUCCUAAGGUAGCGAAAUUCCUUGUCGGGUAAGUUCCGACCUGCACGAAUGGCGUAAUGAUGGCCAGGCUGUCUCCACCCGAGACUCAGUGAAAUUGAACUCGCUGUGAAGAUGCAGUGUACCCGCGGCAAGACGGAAAGACCCCGUGAACCUUUACUAUAGCUUGACACUGAACAUUGAGCCUUGAUGUGUAGGAUAGGUGGGAGGCUUUGAAGUGUGGACGCCAGUCUGCAUGGAGCCAACCUUGAAAUACCACCCUUUAAUGUUUGAUGUUCUAACGUUGCCCCAUAAUCUGGGGUGCGGACAGUGUCUGGUGGGUAGUUUGACUGGGGCGGUCUCCUCCCAAAGCGUAACGGAGGAGCACGAAGGUUGGCUAAGCAUGGUCGGACAUCAUGCGGUUAGUGCAAAGGCAUAAGCCAGCUUGACUGCGAGAGUGACGGCUCGAGCAGGUACGAAAGUAGGUCUUAGUGAUCCGGUGGUUCUGAAUGGAAGGGCCAUCGCUCAACGGAUAAAAGGUACUCCGGGGAUAACAGGCUGAUACCGCCCAAGAGUUCAUAUCGACGGCGGUGUUUGGCACCUCGAUGUCGGCUCAUCACAUCCUGGGGCUGAAGUAGGUCCCAAGGGUAUGGCUGUUCGCCAUUUAAAGUGGUACGCGAGCUGGGUUUAGAACGUCGUGAGACAGUUCGGUCCCUAUCUGCCGUGGGCGUUGGAAGAUUGAAAGGGGCUGCUCCUAGUACGAGAGGACCGGAGUGGACGCACCGCUGGUGUUCGGGUUGUCAUGCCAAUGGCACUGCCCGGUAGCUAAGUGCGGAAGAGAUAACCGCUGAAAGCAUCUAAGCGGGAAACUUGCCUUGAGAUGAGUCUUCCCUGACUCUUUAAGGGUCCUAAAGGAACGUUUAAGACGAAGACGUUGAUAGGCUGGGUGUGUAAGCGUAGCGAUACGUUGAGCUAACCAGUACUAAUGAACCGUGAGGCUUAACCUG